rnacentral:rRNA from 1 species
GAGGAGCCCGUCCUGUAAUCGAUAAUCCACGUUAAACCUCACCAUUUUUAGUUAAUCAGCCUGUAUACCUCCGUCGUCAGCUUACCACGUGAGCGCCAAUUAGUGAGCUUAAUGUUUUUCACCAAUACGUCAGGUCAAGGUGCAGCAAAUAAAGUGGGAAGAGAUGGGCUACACUCUCUAUUUUAGAAAAAACGAAAAACUACCUAUGAAACCUAGUUAGAAGGCGGAUUUAGCAGUAAAAAGGAAUCAGCAUGUCCAUUUUAAUCCGGCACUGGGGUGUGUACACACCGCCCGUCACCCUCUUCAAAGCUUCAAACACAGUUUUUAACAAAUUUAAGCACGACAGAAGAGGCAAGUCGUAACAUGGUAAGUAUACCGGAAGGUGUGCUUGGAAACGAAAUAUAG